rnacentral:rRNA from 1 species
CAGUCGCCGCGGUAAUACGUAGGUGGCAAGCGUUGUCCGGAAUUAUUGGGCGUAAAGGGCUCGCAGGCGGUUUCUUAAGUCUGAUGUGAAAGCCCCCGGCUCAACCGGGGAGGGUCAUUGGAAACUGGGAAACUUGAGUGCAGAAGAGGAGAGUGGAAUUCCACGUGUAGCGGUGAAAUGCGUAGAGAUGUGGAGGAACACCAGUGGCGAAGGCGACUCUCUGGUCUGUAACUGACGCUGAGGAGCGAAAGCGUGGGGAGCGAACAGGAUUAGAUACCCGUGUAGUCCCUAUCUCUUAUAC